rnacentral:rRNA from 1 species
CCCUACGGGGUGCAGCAUCAAAGUAAACAAUGUGACCUUUGAAAUCGUUGGCGUGCUCGCCGCAAAAGGUACUUCGGGCUUUAUGAGUGCAGAUUCAAAUGUGAUCAUCCCCCUGCAGACAGGGUACGCCCGCGUUUUUGGCUCAAUGGCGAAAUACAACGGAAAGUCAAUUCUCUCAGGCAUUUCCAUUUCGGCGGCAGAUACCGACCAAAUCGACAAUGUCAUCUCCAAAGUGGAGCUGGUAUUGCGUGCCCAACACAAACUCGGGCUAAAUGAUGACCUCGGUUUUUCCGUUUCAAGCCAGGAGCAAAUGCUCUCCAGCCUGAGUGACAUCAGUAAUACCAUGUCAGUUUAUCUCGGCGCAAUUGCGGGCAUCUCACUGCUGGUCGGUGGAAUUGGCGGGAGGGC